CCCCUGGAGUUGGUAGAAUGCUAUUGGACAGUUAAAAUGACCCAGGAUUGGCAGAACUCUACUGGACAGUUUAAAUAUGAUUCAGGAGAUGGUUGAAUGCUAUGGGUCACUCUUUCUACCAACUCAAAGCCAUUAAAAGUUUAAAAUAAUAUAUUU